rnacentral:piRNA from 1 species
UACAUUGAUCAGGUAUCUUGUCUCUGUAGG